UACGUAGGGGGCGAGCGUUGUCCGGAAUGAUUGGGCGUAAAGCGCGCGCAGGCGGCCCGCCGCGUCGGCCGUGAAAGACCCCGGCUCAACCGGGGCAUGUCGGCCGCAACGGGCGGGCUGGAGGCGGGGAGAGGGGGGCGGAAUUCCGGGUGGAGCAGUGAAAUGCGUAGAGACCCGGAGGAACACCCGCGGCGAAGGCGGCCCCCUGGCACCGAUCUGACGCUGAGGCGCGACGGCCGGGGGAGCGAACGGG
rnacentral:rRNA from 1 species